rnacentral:rRNA from 1 species
UACGGAGGAUCCAAGCGUUAUCCGGAUUUAUUGGGUUUAAAGGGUGCGUAGGCGGAAGAUUAAGUCGGUGGUGAAAUUUUGCAGCUCAACUGUAAAAGUGCCAUUGAUACUGGUUUUCUUGAGUAUGGAUGAAGUAGGCGGAAUUUGUGGUGUAGCGGUGAAAUGCAUAGAUAUCACGAGGAACUCCGAUUGCGCAGGCAGCUUACUAAACCAUAACUGACGCUCAGGCACGAAGGCGUGGGGAUCAAACAGGAUUAGAUACCCG